rfam:Camelus ferus unplaced genomic scaffold scaffold1408, whole genome shotgun sequence.
GCGGGUAUAGCUCAGUGGUUGAGCAUGUGUUUAGCAUGCACGUGGUCCUGGGUUCAAUCCCCAGCACCACCA